UCCUAAAGCUAGAAUUUUACAAAGUGAAUUGUCUAUUUUGCCUCUCUCCUUUAAACUCCUAUGUGUCCCUUCUUUUGGUUUAAAAUCGAAAUUCCUUCUGGUGUCGAUAAUUAUAAUCUCGUGUAAUCAGCCAUGAUUAUCUACUCAAUUUAUCUUUUCCGCUUUUUCCCAAGGAAUAGAUGAUACAACACGAUUCAUCUUUAUCUUGCACGAUGUUGGAUGUUUCUUCCGUUUUUUCCAACUUUGAUUUGUUGCCACCUUGCUCGACCAUCACGCUGCCAUCAACGCACCAUCCACCGAUGUCCUUACCGUCUCCAUCAUCUAACGUCACCAUCAAUUACCACCAUCUAUUCUCCCAUUCUGUUAGGUGAGUUGAUUUCUAUCGGGUUAUUCUUUUAUGCGAUUUGAACUCAUCGACACGACUACAAUUUUAUUGAAGAAGAGGAAACCCUAGAUUCUUCAACACUUUCGGCUUCCAACACCUCUAAACCCUCUCGAUAGAUUUUUGCUUUCAACGCCUCUAUACCCUCUCUGUAAAAGAAACCUAACUCUUUCCUCUCACACACCUGGGUCUAACUUUUGUUUGUGUAAGAAAUAAGGUGAGUUUUUGUCAUAUAUUCAUCGAUUAGGAGAACAAUUUGAACUAUUUCGAGUUUGGAAUUGUGUAGGUAAACAACUAAUGAUCCCCCUACUCAUAUUCAUGUUAUUAAAUAUUUUGCCCCUAAAUUCCUUUCUUUCUCAGCAACAGGUUUUAGAUACAAAAUUUCAUAUUUGAAGGCAGGUUUGCAAAAAAGUACAGAUGUGGUGAGAACAAGACAAAGCAUACAAUAGACUCAAACACCUACAUUUAGUUGUAAUGACAGGUUUGUAUUGUCUCUUUGGUUUUUUAAGGAUUUUUUUUGGUAAUAUGAAAUUACUAUUAUUCAAUUCUUUUGAGUUUUUAAUCUAUAGUGAACAACUUAUUUAGGUUUCUGGUGUGUUUUGAAAAUGAAUUACAACAACUCUUAUGUAGUUCUAAUUAGAUUGUCAGUGGAAUGUUUUGUGAUAUUCAGAGUUUUUUAGUGUCACUUACUGUCUCUAUUUUUGGAGGUUUUGUUGUUUUUUUUAUCACAUUUAUGUCUUAAAGUUUUGAAUUUGACAGUCUUUAUGUUUGAUUUGUUAUUUGUUUUUCCUAAUGCUUAGGUGCAGAUAAGAUGUUCAUGUCAAUUUGCAAACCUGGAGUUUGCUAAAAGUCCCAAGUGAGAAUUUUAGUUUUAUAACCAAGUAUUUAUAAACAAACAUCAAUAUCUAAUUUAUUCGACUUAAAUGAGAGCAUAAGCUAUUAAGAAGUGCAAUGAAUAAUGUUGAAGCUUCUUAAUCAGUCGGAAUGCAGGAUGCAUUCAAGGCAUCAAGCAAGAUUAAUUUACCUUUUUCCACUUGUAUUAGGAUUUAGGCCAUAUUAAUCGAACUAUUUAUAUAUUAUUUUGAAAGAAUAUAGUACCCUCACGUAUAUCUUAGUAACAUUCAUAGGUUUGGCCACAAACCGUUGAGACAUCCUUGAUGAGGCCCUUCCUAGGGGUCUUCUUCUUCACCCGAUUUGCUCAAAGGGUUUUGAUAAUGAAGUUGUUAGAGAACAUGGGUGAAGUUUUUGUGGUGAGAGCUUCACAAUUUCUCCUACUUUUUCUUUUAUUAUGAAAGUUAGCGGAAUUUAUGCUCUACCGAUUACUGCCUUUCUUAGUUGUUGUUGUUGGAAUGUGGCUUGUGGUGGUUAAUUUUUUGAAAUAGCAGUUUAAAAUUGUUUACAUAUUUUUUUUUAAUAUACUUUUUUAAGUUAUCUAAGAAUUAAGGUUUUAAUUUUAAAUAACGAUGGUGCUUACAAACAAAACUUCAAAUAUUGUGUAUAAAGAAAUUUUUAGAAAAUUUUAAA